rnacentral:lncRNA from 1 species
GCACAAUUUCAGAGAAGGCAAUAGAUUUGCUGAUUUUCUAACUAAUCAAGUUUUCUGUAUUGCUGGUGCUAAUCAUAUUAUAUAUAACUCAAGACAUUUUUUUAACAACUAAGCCUAUUUUACUAUUUUGGAUAUAGAUAUAGCCCAAGUUCUAAUUUAAAAAUUAGAAACAUCAAAAAUAGGGAUUUCAGGGUUACAGAUUGUGUUCCAUAUAAAUUAUUACAGGAGGGACAAGGCAAAAAGAGAAACAGUUGAGAGAUAGACAAAUCUUCCAUGUAGAUGACUGACUUACCAUGGCCUUUAUUCUUUCACAAUGGUUUCACCGUUUAGGUCAUUCUGUAGAAAAAAGAUAUCGGAGAUGGUUAAUAUUUAAAAAAAAAAAAGCGAGUCUUGAAACAUUUAUUACUUAUCUAAUAAGUUUGGGGACAUUAAAUCAAAAAGAAGCUUACCAGUCACAUUUUUUAGCUGAAGAAUUUUUUAACGAAAUCAGAACUCAUGGCAUUUGUUAGAGGUUUUAAAUUUCUAAGGUGGAUUCUAUCCAAGCUUAGAUAUUUGUAUUGUGUUUCUCCGAUCUGAUGUUAGAAUCCCGAUUUCAUUCUUCGAUAUCGCCAUUAUUAUCUUGGCAAGCUUGAGAAUUCACAAGAAAGAAGAAGAGGCGACAUUAUCGAUACAAGGGCUAGAUGUUUC